rnacentral:rRNA from 1 species
GGAAUAUUGGGCAAUGGAGGGAACUCUGACCCAGCGACGCCGCGUGCGGGAUGAAGGCCUUCGGGUUGUGAACCGCUUUCAGCAGGAACGAAAAUGACGGUACCUGCAGAAGAAGGAGCGGCCAACUACGUGCCAGCAGCCGCGGUGACACGUAGGCUCCAAGCGUUGUCCGGAUUUAUUGGGCGUAAAGAGCUCGUAGGCGGUUCAGCAAGUCGGGUGUGAAAACUCUGGGCUCAACCCAGAGCCUGCACCCGAAACUGCUGUGACUAGAGUUCGGUAGGGGAGUGGGGAAUUCCUAGUGUAGCGGUGAAAUGCGCAGAUAUUAGGAGGAACACCGAUGGCGAAGGCACCACUCUGGGCCGAAACUGACGCUGAGGAGCGAAAGCGUGGGUAGCAAACAGGAUUAGAUACCCUGGUAGUCCACGCCGUAAACGAUGGGCACUAGGUGUGGGUCUCUAACCAACGAGUCCGCGCCGUCGCUAACGCAUUAAGUGCCCCGCCUGGGGAGUACGGUCGCAAGACUAAAACUCAAAUGAAUUGACGG